UACGUAGGGGGCGAGCGUUGUCCGGAUUUAUUGGGCGUAAAGAGCUCGUAGGCGGCUGUUCGAGUCGGGUGUGAAAUCCUGAGGCUUAACCUUGGGUCUGCAUUCGAUACUGGGCGGCUUGAGGUCUGGAGGGGGGACUGGAAUUCUCGGUGUAGCAGUGAAAUGCGUAGAUAUCGAGAGGAACACCAGUGGCGAAGGCGAGUCCCUGGACAGAUCCUGACGCUGAGGCACGAAAGCUAGGGGAGCAAACAGG
rnacentral:rRNA from 1 species